rnacentral:rRNA from 1 species
GACGAACGCUGGCGGCGUGCCUAAUACAUGCAAGUAGAACGCACAGUUUAUACCGUAGCUUGCUACACCAUAGACUGUGAGUUGCGAACGGGUGAGUAACGCGUAGGUAACCUGCCUGGUAGCGGGGGAUAACUAUUGGAAACGAUAGCUAAUACCGCAUAAUAUUAAUUAUUGCAUGAUAAUUAAUUGAAAGGUGCAAUUGCACCACUACCAGAUGGACCUGCGUUGUAUUAGCUAGUAGGUGAGGUAACGGCUCACCUAGGCGACGAGACAUAGCCGACCGGAGAGGGUGAUCGGCCACACUGGGACGGAGACACGGCCCAGCCUCCUACGGGAGGCAGCAGUAGGGAAUCUGCGGCAAUGGACGAAAGUCUGACCGAGCAACGCCGCGUGAGUGAAGAAGGUUUUCGGAUCGUAAAGCUCUGUUGUAAGAGAAGAACGGGUGUGAGAGUGGAAAGUUCACACUGUGACGGUAUCUGACCAGAAAGGGACGGCUAACUACGUG